UACAGAGGGUGCGAGCGUUGUUCGGAUUCACUGGGCGUAAAGGGUGCGCAGGCGGCCGUGUGUGUGAGGCGUGAAAGCCCGGGGGCUUAACCCCGGAAUUGCACCUCAAACUACACGGCUAGAGCAUUGGAGAGGGUAGCAGAAUUCACGGUGUAGCAGUGAAAUGCGUAGAUAUCGUGAGGAAUACCAGAGGCGAAGGCGGCUACCUGGACAAUUGCUGACGCUCAGGCACGAAAGCGUGGGGAGCAAAAGGG
rnacentral:rRNA from 1 species